CUCCACUCUGCCCUUUAGGGCUUAUAAGUAGAUAAAUCUGCAGAGAAGAAAGGGAAAGUUUCAAGGAGAUCAUUGAAUAAUCCCAGACAUAUUAUCUGCCUUAGUCCUCAAAACUGCCUAAAAAGGAAUGCAGACUAUACAGAUGAGGAAGCUGAGGCUUAAAGGAAGAAAGUGGUAUACCUAAAGUCCUCUGUGAAGGAAGUGGCAGACCUGGGAUUCAAACUUGAGUCUAGUUACUCCAAAGCCUGGCUCUCUCCAUGAGGAUGUAGUGAAGACCACAAACUCAAUUUGGGGGAUAAUCCAUCCUCCUACAAAUGAACGUGAACAAAAAUUAAGCCAUUCAUGAACUUUCUAUUUGCCCUGUGGCUG
rnacentral:lncRNA from 1 species